rnacentral:rRNA from 1 species
GGAGGGUGCAAGCGUUAAUCGGAAUUACUGGGCGUAAAGCGUGCGCAGGCGGUUCGUCGUGUCCGAUGUGAAAGCCCCGGGCUCAACCUGGGAAUGGCAUUGGAAACUGGCGGGCUUGAGUGUGGCAGAGGGGGGUGGAAUUCCGCGUGUAGCAGUGAAAUGCGUAGAGAUGCGGAGGAACACCGAUGGCGAAGGCAGCCCCCUGGGCUGACACUGACGCUCAGGCACGAAAGCGUGGGGAGCAAACAGGAUUAGAUACCCUGGUAGUCCACGCCCUAAACGAUGAUCACUGGGUGUUGGGGGAGCGAUCUCCUAGUACCGUAGCUAACGCGUGAAGUGAUCCGCCUGGGGAGUACGGUCGCAAGAUUA